rnacentral:rRNA from 1 species
GACGAAGGUGGCGAGCGUUGUUCGGAAUCACUGGGCAUAAAGCGCACGUAGGCGGUGUCGUAAGUCGGGUGUGAAAUCCCUCGGCCUAACCGAGGAACUGCGCCCGAUACUGCGAUGCUUGAGGACCAGAGGGGUGCAUGGAAUUUCCGGUGGAGCGGUGAAAUGCGUUGAUAUCGGAAGGAACUCCGGCGGCGAAAGCGAUGCACUGGCUGGUUUCUGACGCUGAGGUGCGAAAGCCAGGGAGCAAACGGG